CGUUAUGGCGGCCGUGCGCGGGCAGGCUUACGUCUGGCCGAGUUUUGCCUUUGUUCCUCGGUUUCUCACCCUGCGUACGGCUGCCACCCAC
rnacentral:antisense_RNA from 17 species